GUGCUUGUUUCCGCCGCACAUGUACUAAAAUGGGAACCAUGCAGAGACGAUUAGCGUGGCCCCUGCGCAAGGAUGACACGCAAAUUCGUGAAGCAUCCCAUAUUAAA